AUUGAAUUGAAUUGAAUCUCGUUCUCAGCUCCUCCCCUAGAUGAAGCAAGUCUCGAUACACGCUUCACGGAAGCUCCUCCUACACUACUCGACACGCGCCUCGAAGCCUCGAAACAGAACGUCACAUCACUGGUGGACGGGGAGCUGCCUGCCACGCUUCUGGGGACUGGAUGACAGACGUGAAGGGAGGAUAAAGACUGGACUGUGGCCGCCUGCUAGAUCUGUCUUCUUUGCCUUUUUAUGGACACUUCUUUUAGUUAUCUUGAACAAGAUUUUAUUGGGUUCCCCCCUGACAGUUUUUAGCCUUUUAUAUUUUACUAUUUUUACUUAAGAUUUUUAUUUGUUCUGAUUUUAACUUUGGCUUGCUGUGAUUUGCAUGUUUUAUUAAAUCAGAAGUAGAAAACAAUCCUUUCUUCCCUAGUUAUUGUGUGGUGCUCUUCCCCUGGUCCUGAAUCUUUAAUUUGUCUACAUU